GCACGCGCGCUACACUGAUGAACGCAACGAGCUCUACCCUGCUCCGAAAGGUCCGGGUAAACUUGUGAAAGUUCAUCGUGAUGGGGAUAGAUUAUUGCAAUUAUUAAUCUUCAACGAGGAAUUCCUAGUAAGCGCGAGUCAUCAGCUCGCGUUGACUACGUCCCUGCCCUUUGUACACACCGCCCGUCGCUCCUACCGAUUUGAGUGACGAGGUGAACCCUCCGGACUGGCCUUCCACGGCUAGGAAGUUGAGUAAACCUCUUCACUUAGAGGAAGGAGAAGUCGUAACAAGGUUUCUGUAGGU
rnacentral:rRNA from 14 species